UGACCACAUCAAUCAAAAACUCUGUGCU
rnacentral:piRNA from 1 species